GCCCGGGUGGCGAAAUUGGUAGACGCACCAGAUUUAGGUUCUGGCGCCGCAAGGUGUGGAGGUUCGAGUCCUCUCCCGGGCA
rnacentral:tRNA from 2 species